GAAGUAAAAGUCGUAACAAGGUUUCCCGCGAGGGACGUUUCUCAUUUUACGUCAUAACUCGGAAGCCUUGUAAGUAACAGUCUGCCUCUCGGCAGGCGACAUCCACCUGUAGCUGGAACUCUCCCCUUUUCAGGGUGGACGAUCAGCUGCUACAUGCUAAACCAUGUAGUCCACAGAUCAAACGCGGGUGGCCUCUUCUGGGGUUAAGAUAUGACCGUUACGGCUCUGAAAAAGAGAUCGGCUCCUAAGUUCCGUAGGUGAACCUGCGGAAGGAUCAUU
rnacentral:rRNA from 1 species